rnacentral:RNase_P_RNA from 1 species
GGAGUUGGCUAGACAAUCGCGUCAGUAUUGAGAAUUUACACUUAAUACUGCCGAGGAAAGUCCGGGCUCCAUAGGGCAGAACGCCAGGUAACGCCUGGGAGGUGCGAGCCUACGGAAAGUGCAGCAGAGAGAAGACCGCCUGCUAACUUUUGGGUGAGCAGGUAAGGGUGAAAGGGUGCGGUAAGAGCGCACCGCGCAGCUGGCAACAGUCUGUGGCGAUGGUAAACCCCGUUCGGAGCAAGACCAAAUAGGAAUCCAUUGGUGCGGCCCGCAUCGGAUUCGGGUAGGUCGCUUGAGGUCAGUGGUGACACUGGUCCCAGAUGAAUGAUUGUCCACGACAGAACCCGGCUUAUCGGCCAACUCCUUUU